AACGAACGCUGGCGGCAUGCCUAACACAUGCAAGUCGAACGAUACCUUCGGGUCUAGUGGCGCACGGGUGCGUAACGCGUGGGAACCUGCCCUUAGGUUCGGAAUAACUCCCCGAAAGGGGUGCUAAUACCGGAUAAUGUCUUCGGACCAAAGAUUUAUCGCCUUUGGAUGGGCCCGCGUUGGAUUAGCUAGUUGGUAGGGUAAAAGCCUACCAAGGCGACGAUCCAUAGCUGGUCUGAGAGGAUGAUCAGCCACACUGGGACUGAGACACGGCCCAGACUCCUACGGGAGGCAGCAGGGGGGAAUAUUGGACAAUGGGCGAAAGCCUGAUCCAGCAAUGCCGCGUGAGUGAUGAAGGCCUUAGGGUUGUAAAGCUCUUUUAACCGGGAUGAUAAUGACAGUACCGGGAGAAUAAGCGCCGGCUAACUCCGUG
rnacentral:rRNA from 1 species